UACAGAGGUCUCAACCGUUGUUCGGAUUCAUUGGGCGUAAAGGGUGCGUAGGCGGAUCGCUAAGUCAGGGGUGAAAUCCCAGGGCUCAACCCUGGAACUGCCUUUGAUACUGACGAUCUGGAGAUCGGGAGAGGUGAGUGGAAUUCCGAGUGUAGAGGUGAAAUUCGUAGAUAUUCGGAGGAACACCAGAAGCGAAGGCGGCUCACUGGCCCGAUACUGACGCUGAGGCGCGAAAGCGUGGGGAGCAAACAGG
rnacentral:rRNA from 1 species